GCUGUGGCUGUGACACUUUGGUCGGAUAAUAAUGUCUUGUUCAGCGGUCGGUUGCACGGCAAGACACUCAAAGGAAUCGGCAGUUCAGUUUUUCCGACUUCCUUUUGAUGAGGCCAGGCUGAAGCAAUGGUUGGUGAACAUGAGGAGAGAGAGAGACCAGCAAAUGGAACCACGAAAAGUCACGUCUGCAGUUCACACUUUGAGGAAGAUCAGUUUUUUAGAGACAAUCAGGUAUCCGCACUGAAAACUGAAAGAGCAGAGCCUCCAGAAGGAAGACCUGGUGUAUAGAGCGGCGUAUUUGGUGCCAUUUCAUCUGGAUGUGGAAACCAGACAGCGUUGACCACGUCCAAAGUUCUCAAAUGUGUUCUGAUUGUAAAAAUGCCAGAAAAUCAUUUUUGGUUCAGCUUCUUCUGCUGGAAGGAUGGACCAACUUUUGGCACUUGGUAGUUAGAGGUUCAAUUUAUUGUGGUUGACUUAGUUUCUGCUGUAGUUUGAUAGGUGAUAGUAGUAACAUUAAGUAGUUUUGUGGAUUAAAACUUUUAUAAAUAUUAAACUGGAAUAAAAUAAUGAAUAUACUCUAGCAGUCACCACUUUCACAGGUGAAAGUAUGUUUGGUAAUUUCACAUAAAGGGUAUUUUAUGUAUUUUAUGUAAUUAUGUACUGUUAGAAUUAAAUAUUGACAUUGC